CCAGGCCCCGGGCCAGGCCGCCCUGAACGGCUCCGUGCGGGGCGGCCCUGGCGCAGUUCCCGCUGCCGGGAUCUUGCAGCUGCCGGCGCUUCCCUUAGAGACCCCCGUGCUCCUCGGGGGCAGCCAGAACUCUGCGCGGACGCCUCUGCCGGGAACGGCUUGGCCCCGCGCCGGGCUGCCCCAGGCCUGGGCCUCUUCCUGCCCGUUCCCCCUCCGCUCUCUCCUGGAGCGUGUUUGUGUGUGGGGCGUCUGGAAGACCCCUGCUAUCUGAGAACGUGCACAAAGCGCAGCUCGGUUUCACGUAGGAUGCCAUUCCUUGGCCUCGUGUCAGGCUGAGAUGAAGCACUGUCCAGACGAACUCCUGGUUUACAACAUCUGCCGUGACCUUAAUGGUUUCCCACCGCCUCCUGAUCUCUUCUGUCUCGCUUCCAGUCCCGAGGGCAGCGCCUGUGAGAUGGACAGCACCUUGCCAGCGGUAGCAGAGGAGCUGCUGAAAGAGAUCAAAAAGGCUUUUCAGGAGACCUCGCACGUCCCUGAUGACCUGCUGCUGGGGCUGAAGUUCAUAUUUGGCCCAUCUGCUGUCCCAGCCUUGGAUUUGGUGGAUCACCGUUCUGUCACCCGCGUCGUGUCCCCGAGUGGAAGGACAGCGUAUCAGGUUCUUGGGAGCUCAGGCAAACUCUACACCUGCUACAGUUCCUGCCACUUCUGCACGUGUCCCGCUUUUGGUUUUACUGUACUGCAGAAGAGUGAGAGCCUUCUGUGCAAACAUAUACUUGCCGUCUACCUCAGCCAGGCCAUGGGAGCCUGUCAGGAGCUGACCGUCUCUGAGGAGCAGCUCACGAGCAUCUUACUGGCUGAGGAAGAGGAUGAAGGAUGAAGGACUUGGAUCACGUGCAGAUGUGAUUUCCGUGUACCUCCUGGCUGCACAGCCAGCAUUCUUCCUGUCUACAAGGCUGUCAAAUGUCCAUUGCAGCUGCUAGGCUUAUUCCCGUGCUGUAACCAAGCGUGACUUAAUUAGCAGCUUUGCACCGAUGGAUUACACAAUAAAUGCACAAAACAAGCACCAGUGCUGCCGUGCUGCCUGAGAUCACACACCAGACAGCACACCCUGGCAGGACAUGUUAAAUGAAUCAUAAACUGCACUUUGGAGGGAAGAAAGAAAAAAAGAAAA